rnacentral:lncRNA from 1 species
AUUUAGUGCCAAAUACUGAAAAUGUAUUCAGCAUGGUGUGGCCACGUGUUGGAAGAUUCGUGCAUCUUGGAUAUCAUCAUCACCGCAUAGUUUGCUCUGGAGGGAGCUAGGAGUUGCUAUAAAACUCAUCCCCCAUCACUUGUAUAAACACUUUUGAAUAUUGAGAGAAUUGAAAUGUUGUUGAAGCUUCUUCUCCCAUCGAAAGUCACUCCUUGUGCUUCUUUCCCUUCUCCUCUAGCUUCCUUCCAAGAGAGGGCUUUCUGAGCUAGAUUCACUUACCACUAAAAGCACUUCAUCCAUCAACUUCAAUCAUAAACUACAUCUUCCGCUGCUACCUAAAUCAAUUCCAAGAACCAAUCAGAUUUGUUGCUGCCAUCUGCUCGGUUUCC